rnacentral:rRNA from 1 species
AGUGAACGCUGGCGGUAGGCCUAACACAUGCAAGUCGAACGGCAGCACAGUAAGAGCUUGCUCUUACGGGUGGCGAGUGGCGGACGGGUGAGGAAUACAUCGGAAUCUACUUUUUCGUGGGGGAUAACGUAGGGAAACUUACGCUAAUACCGCAUACGACCUACGGGUGAAAGCAGGGGAUCUUCGGACCUUGCGCGAUUGAAUGAGCCGAUGUCGGAUUAGCUAGUUGGCGGGGUAAAGGCCCACCAAGGCGACGAUCCGUAGCUGGUCUGAGAGGAUGAUACGCCACACGGGAACGGGGACCCGGCCCAGACCCCUAGGGGGGGCAGCGGGGGGGAAUAUUGGAAAAGGGGCGCAAGCCUGACCCAGCCAUACCGGGGGGGUGAAGAAGGCCUUCGGGUUGUAAAGCCCUUUUUUGGGGAAAAAAAAGCAGCAGGUUAAUCCCCCGCUGUUCUGACGGUACCAAAAGAAUAAGCCCCGGCUAACUUCGG